UGGUAUUACAUGUUGAGGACUGGUCUGAA
rnacentral:piRNA from 1 species